AAUUGAAUUACAAACACCCACAUUUUAAUUAACCUAACAAUUUCACAAUUGGGAGUUCUUCCAUUCUACCUCUUAAACUCGUUGUAUAGUACUAAAUCCAUAGAAUGGUGGAUUUUAGGCUCACACUGUACAAUUAAGAGUGGGGCUAUGUAGAAUAGGUAAAUAAAUUUUGUAGUAAGUUACUGGUUGAUUAUUGAUAACCUUGAGAAUUAGACUUAUGGUUAGGCAGUUUAAUUGGUAACAGUAGGUUGUUAGUGGAACAAAUGGUUAAGAAUUCAAAAGGUCAUAACUUUUGGAAUCUGUUAGUCGAUAGAUCAUCUUUUGGUAGGAUAUAGAGGUUUAGAAGUGGGAGAUUAGAGCUAGAUUGUGAGAGUCAUAAGUCGGGAUAAGCUUGGUGCUACUUCUUUGUUUUCUUUGCUUUUAUUAUUUGCUUAUCAAGAAUUGUGAUUGAGAGAAGUAUUGUUGAAAUUAUAAUUAGAAUAUUAUGGAAUAUGACUUUGGACUGACCAUUUUGGAGAA
rnacentral:lncRNA from 1 species